rnacentral:rRNA from 1 species
GAUGAACGCUGGCUACAGGCUUAACACAUGCAAGUCGAGGGGAAACGACGGGGAAGCUUGCUUCCCCGGGCGUCGACCGGCGCACGGGUGAGUAACGCGUAUCCAACCUGCCUCUGACUGAGGGAUAACCCGUCGAAAGUCGGACUAAUACCUCAUGGUAUCGUCUGCGGGCAUCCAACGACGAUUAAAGAUUUCAUCGGUCAGGGAUGGGGAUGCGUCUGAUUAGCUUGUUGGCGGGGUAACGGCCCACCAAGGCUACGAUCAGUAGGGGUUCUGAGAGGAAGGUCCCCCACAUUGGAACUGAGACACGGUCCAAACUCCUACGGGAGGCAGCAGUGAGGAAUAUUGGGCAAUGGGCGAGAGCCUGAACCAGCCAAGUAGCGUGCAGGAAGACGGCCCUAUGGGUUGUAAACUGCUUUUAUGCGGGGAUAAAGUGAGGGACGGGUCCCUCAUUGCAGGUACCGCAUGAAUAAGGACCGGCUAAUUCCGUG